rnacentral:tRNA from 1 species
GGAGAGAUGGCCGAGUGGUCGAAGGCGCUCGCCUGCUAAGUGAGUGGGGCUUUGCCGCCCCCGAGGGUUCGAAUCCCUCUCUCUCCG